AUUGAACGCUGGCGGCAGGCCUAACACAUGCAAGUCGAGCGGAUGACGGGAGCUUGCUCCUCGAUUCAGCGGCGGACGGGUGAGUAAUGCCUAGGAAUCUGCCUGGUAGUGGGGGACAACGUUUCGAAAGGAACGCUAAUACCGCAUACGUCCUACGGGAGAAAGCAGGGGACCUUCGGGCCUUGCGCUAUCAGAUGAGCCUAGGUCGGAUUAGCUAGUUGGUGGGGUAAUGGCUCACCAAGGCGACGAUCCGUAACUGGUCUGAGAGGAUGAUCAGUCACACUGGAACUGAGACACGGUCCAGACUCCUACGGGAGGCAGCAGUGGGGAAUAUUGGACAAUGGGCGAAAGCCUGAUCCAGCCAUGCCGCGUGUGUGAAGAAGGUCUUCGGAUUGUAGAGCACUUUAAGUUGGGAGGAAGGGCAGUAAGUUAAUACCUUGCUGUUUUGACGUUACCGACAGAAUAAGCACCGGCUAACUCUGUGCCAGCCGCCGCCGUAA
rnacentral:rRNA from 1 species